GUUUGAUCCUGGCUCAGAUUGAACGCUGGCGGCAUGCUUUACACAUGCAAGUCGAACGGCAGCACGGGGGCAACCCUGGUGGCGAGUGGCGAACGGGUGAGUGAUGCGUCGGAACGUACCGAGUAAUGGGGGAUAACGCAGCGAAAGUUGUGCUAAUACCGCAUACGCCCUGAGGGGGAAAGUGGGGGAUCGUAAGACCUCACGUUAUUCGAGCGGCCGACGUCUGAUUAGCUAGUUGGUGGGGUAAUGGCUCACCAAGGCGACGAUCAGUAGCGGGUCUGAGAGGAUGAUCCGCCACACUGGGACUGAGACACGGCCCAGACUCCUACGGGAGGCAGCAGUGGGGAAUUUUGGACAAUGGGGGCAACCCUGAUCCAGCCAUUCCGCGUGAGUGAAGAAGGCCUUCGGGUUGUAAAGCUCCUUCAGCUGGAACGAAACGGUACGCGCUAACAUCGUGUGCUAAUGACGGUACCAGCAGAAGAAGCACCGGCUAACUACGUGCCAGCAGCCGCGGUAAUACGUAGGGUGCGAGCGUUAAUCGGAAUUACUGGGCGUAAAGCGUGCGCAGGCGGAUUGUUAAGCAAGAUGUGAAAUCCCCGGGCUUAACCUGGGAAUGGCAUUUUGAACUGGCAGUCUAGAGUGUGUCAGAGGGGGGUGGAAUUCCACGUGUAGCAGUGAAAUGCGUAGAGAUGUGGAGGAACACCGAUGGCGAAGGCAGCCCCCUGGGAUAACACUGACGCUCAUGUACGAAAGCGUGGGUAGCAAACAGGAUUAGAUACCCUGGUAGUCCACGCCCUAAACGAUGUCAACUGGGUUGUUGGGGGAGUGAAACCCCUUAGUAACGAAGCUAACGCGUGAAGUUGACCGCCUGGGGAGUACG
rnacentral:rRNA from 1 species